rnacentral:rRNA from 1 species
AGAGUUUGAUCAUGGCUCAGGACGAACGCUGGCGGCGUGCCUAACACAUGCAAGUCGAGCGAGGAACUUCGGUUCCUAGCGGCGGACGGGUGAGUAACACGUGGGUAACCUGCCUUGUAGAGGGGGAUAGCCUUUCGAAAGGAAGAUUAAUACCGCAUAACAUUAUUUUGUCGCAUGAUAGAAUAAUCAAAGGAGCAAUCUGCUACAAGAUGGACCCGCGGCGCAUUAGCUAGUCGGUGAGGUAACGGCUCACCAAGGCGACGAUGCGUAGCCGGCCUGAGAGGGUGAACGGCCACAUUGGAACUGAGACACGGUCCAGACUCCUACGGGAGGCAGCAGUGGGGAAUAUUGCACAAUGGGCGAAAACCUGAUGCAGCAACGCCGCGUGAGUGAUGAAGGCCUUCGGGUUGUAAAGCUCUGUCUUCUGGGACGAUAAUGACGGUACCAGAGGAGGAAGCCACGGCUAACUACGUGCCAGCAGCCGCGGUAAUACGUAGGUGGCAAGCGUUGUCCGGAUUUACUGGGCGUAAAGGAUGCGUAGGCGGAUAUUUAAGUGAGAUGUGAAAUUCCCGGGCUUAACUUGGGAGCUGCAUUUCAAACUGGGUAUCUAGAGUGCGGGAGAGGAGAGUGGAAUUCCUAGUGUAGCGGUGAAAUGCGUAGAGAUUAGGAAGAACACCAGUGGCGAAGGCGACUCUCUGGACCGUAACUGACGCUGAGGCAUGAAAGCGUGGGGAGCAAACAGGAUUAGAUACCCUGGUAGUCCACGCUGUAAGCGAUGAAUACUAGGUGUGGGAGUUGUCAUGACUUCCGUGCCGCAGUUAACACAAUAAGUAUUCCGCCUGGGGAGUACGGUCGCAAGAUUAAAACUUAAAUGAAUUGACGG